rnacentral:rRNA from 1 species
UACGAGGGGUGCAAGCGUUGCUCGGAAUUAUUGGGCGUAAAGGGUAGGUAGGUGGUCUCAUUUGUCUGAUGUGAAAGCCUUGGGCUUAACCCAAGAAGUGCGUCAGAAACGGUGAGACUGGAGUCCUGGAGAGGGUCGUGGAAUUCCCGGUGUAGCGGUGAAAUGCGUAGAGAUCGGGAGGAACACCAGUGGCGAAGGCGGCAUCCUGGACCAAUAUUGACGCUGAGGAGCGAAAGCGUGGGGAGCAAACAGG